AUGGAGGAGGUCGCCGGCGGCGGUUCAUCCUGGCCGUACGCCAAGAAGCCGCAGCCGCACCAGCUGGGGCGGUCGCUGACGUACCACCACCCCUACCAGGGCCAGGGGCGCCGCCUGCAGCCUGCGCAGCGCCACCAGCUCCCUGACGUGCGUGCCCCGCGGCCGGCGGUGGUGCUCUACACGACGUCGCUCCGCGGCGUGCGGCGCACCUUCACCGACUGCUCCGCGGUGCGCGCCGUGCUGCGCGGCUUCCGCGUGGCCGUGGACGAGCGCGACUUGUCCAUGGACGCCGCGCUCCGGCGGGAGCUCCAGGGGCUGCUCGCGGCGCGGGGCCGCGCCUUCUCCCUCCCUCAGCUCUUCGUCGGGGGCCGGCUCGUCGGCGGCGCCGAAGAGGCGAGGCAGCUGCACGAGGCCGGCGAGCUGCGGCGCCUCCUCGAAGGCGCCGCGGGGCAGGACCCGGCCUUCGUUUGCGACGCCUGCGGGGGUGUCCGCUUCGUGCCCUGCCCCGCCUGCGCUGGCUCCCGCAAGGUUUUCGUGGAGGAGGAAGGACGCACCAGCUGCUGCGGCCUCUGCAACGAGAACGGCUUGGUACGAUGUCCCGCUUGUUCUUCUUGA
rnacentral:rRNA from 1 species